UACGUAGGGUGCAGGCGUUAAUCGGAAUUACUGGGCGUAAAGCGUGCGCAGGCGGUUUGCUAAGACAGGUGUGAAAUCCCCGGGCUCAACCUGGGAAUUGCAUUUGUGACUGCACGGCUAGAGUGUGUCAGAGGGGGGUAGAAUUCCACGUGUAGCAGUGAAAUGCGUAGAGAUGUGGAGGAAUACCGAUGGCGAAGGCAGCCCCCUGGGAUAACACUGACGCUCAUGCACGAAAGCGUGGGGAGCAAACAGG
rnacentral:rRNA from 1 species